rnacentral:tRNA from 1 species
UGCGCUGGUAGUUUAGUGGUAGAAUAAAAGCUUCCCAAGCUUUGGAUCCGGGUCCGAUUCCCGGCCGGCGCAU